rnacentral:lncRNA from 1 species
CUCCUUUCCCGAAGCAGUGGCGUUGCCGCCAUCUUGGCACCUCAGAUUGAGGGAACGAGCCAAGCCCGGGCUUUUGAAGGGGGGUGUUAGGACAGGGAGUUCCUUCCGCGGUACACAGUGAGACCUGCCCAUCCCUCCUCCUCUCCCUGCUCCGGCUCGGGCUUCUGAGGCUUGCGGAGGCCGGCCGGAUUCCUGUCAGGCCCGGGGAGGAGGGGCGAGAGGGGCGGCCGCUGCCUCCCCGGGACGGGCGGUACCACCCGGGUGGGAAGGAGAGGGCCUGGUGACAACGGGGCGGUGCACCACCUGGGGGCGGG